GAUGAACGCUAGCGGAAGGCUUAAUACAUGCAAGUCGAGCGGUAGGUGGCUUCGGCCAUUGAGAGCGGCGCACGGGUGAGUAACGCGUACAUGACCUGCCUGUCAGAAGGGGAUAGCCCUGGGAAACUGGGAUUAAUACCCUAUGGUAUUGAUAUUAUGAAUGAUAUCAAUUAAAGUUGAGGCGCUGACAGAUGGAUGUGCGUCUGAUUAGCUAGUUGGUAGGGUAACGGCCUACCAAGGCGACGAUCAGUAGGGGGCGUGAGAGCGUGGUCCCCCACACGGGUACUGAGACACGGACCCGACUCCUACGGGAGGCAGCAGUAAGGAAUAUUGGUCAAUGCCCGCAAGGGUGAACCAGCCAUUCCGCGUGGAGGAUGAAGGCCCUAUGGGUUGUAAACUUCUUUUAGAUGGGAAGAAAAUGCUAGAUGUAUCUGGUACUGACGGUACCAUCAGAAUAAGCACCGGCUAACUCCGUGCCAGCAGCCGCGGUAACAC
rnacentral:rRNA from 1 species